CUUACCUUUUUUUCUCCUCACGCGAAAACUCUUUUCUUAUCAUUUCGUUCAUUCUACUCGUCCAGUGAACUCCUUUGCCGCCGGCGACCUCCGCACAGGUUUUUCUCCGAACCGUGAUACCUUAGAGAUCCAACCGGCCAAUGAAAACCCUUCUGCCUUCUUCGUCGGAAUCCAUGGCUUCUCCAGUGACACCCACUUCAGUUUCCAAGCUCUUUCACUUUAUCCGACAUCAUCCGCGCUCAUAUGUCCCUGUUCCAUCUGAUAGUUACAGACAAAGACUUCUCAGCAUGUCAUGCUCAUCAUCGUCACCUACAACUAUUUCGGGCAACCAGUCGCCUCCAGUGGUGAUAAAGAGGAAGAGGACAAGGUAUCGGAAGCAAUACCCAGGAGAGAGUGUGGGCAUAACGGAGGAAAUGAGGUUCGUUGCCCUGAGAUUACGCAAUGUCAAUGGCAAGAAGUGUGAAUCCAAUGACGAAACCGAGAGUGAGAAGGAAGAAGAUGAACAAUCAGAUGGGGAGGGAAGUGGGUAUUCGCAGAACAAGGAUGAAGAGACUUGGAAGCCGAGCAAAGAAGGGUUGCUUAAAUACUUGGUUGACAGCAAGCUUGUCUUUGAUACCAUCGAGCGAAUUAUCGAGGAAUCCGAGGAUGUUUCCUAUGCUUACUUCAGGAGAACAGGAUUAGAGCGAUCACGAAACAUCGAGAAUGAUCUGAUGUGGUUUAAAGAACAGGGAUAUGCAAUUCCAGAACCGAGCAAUCCAGGAGUUUCAUAUGCCAAGUAUUUGAAAGAACGGGCCGAUCAAAAUGCCCCUCUUUUCCUUUCUCAUUUCUACAACAUAUAUUUCUCGCAUGUUGCUGGCGGUCAAGUUAUAGUUAGACAGGUCUCGGAGAAGCUUCUGGAAGGCAAGGAGCUGGAAUUCACGAGGUGGGAAGACAAUACAGAGGAGUUGCUGAGAGGAGUCCGUGAAAAGCUCAACACGCUCGGAGAGGUGAGGGUUUUCGAUAUUUUAAACUCAUGGGUUGAUUUCUUCCUCGACGCUUCUUAUCAUCUGCUGUAAUGUUUUGGGGAAUGAAGCAUUGGUCUCGGGACGAGAAGAACAAAUGCUUGAAGGAAACAGCAAAGGCAUUUAAGUAUAUGGGGCAGAUAGUUCGGUUGAUCGUCCUAUAAAAAAACCUGCUUCUGUUCUCUGAGCUGUCUUCUUCAGUUUGAUUGCAUGCAUGAUACGCACCAUACACAAAUGACAAAGUAACCAUGACUGACCCAUAGAGACGAUGAUAUUAUUCGAAAUCAUGUGUAUAUAUAUAUAUAUAUAUAUAUACACAUUUUUAGUACGGCCGUUCGCCGUUAAAGUUGCAAGCGACGAACGUUCCACGGCCAUCGUUGCACCUCACGGCAUCGGCUCUCGACAUGUCGAAGGGAUGCUGCUCCAGGCGAGGUUCUCGCCGUAGGGCCCACUCGAGUGGACGAGACGGCAGUCCCCUUUCUGCCGGUUCGCAUAGUUCCUCGUGUAGGUGGCCACCCUCUCGUCCCACCGUAUGGGACCCACCGCGACCUCGGCUCGUGGCGAGUCGUGGGCCUUCGAGGGAGCCACUACGGCAAGGACUAAGGGGAUUUUUUUUUGAGGAGGACAAACACUUGGGUAAAGUUUUGUCCGAAAAUAAUAUUGGAUUUUUUUUUUUUUGUAUUCUUAUUACGUUUGCGAGAGAGCCAUAAAUUACUGUGA